UAUAUAUUUUAUAUAUUUCAAUCCCUGCUUCUUUCAGACUUUUGACACAAGUAAUCAUAGUCAUAUUCUGCAAUCAGUGUGUAUCUAUUAGGAGGAAACAUUUGAAGUGCAAAGAGAAAAACUUUAAAAUUGUUCCGAGGAUCCCUAAGACUCCCUUUUGCCCUGGGAAAACCAUCAGAAGCCUCAGGACAGGAGAAGGGAGCCUUUAAGUAGUCAGGAAUUGCCACCAGAUCACCAGAGCUGGGUUCAGGAUUACCGCUGGCAACUUUUUUUGCUAUUAAAGGCUGUUCCCCACUGUUCCAAGGCUCACAAAUUCUGACACCAUAUUCAGUUCACACAACAGGGUUUUGCCCUUUACGUUGUACUUAAAAUAUAAAACUAAAACAGUAAAACACUAUACAAACAUUAAUAAAUUAUAAAAUAUAA